CAAAGUGAAAUCAACAAGGUAACUCCCAAAGGCUUGGCAAACUCACCUUGCUUUCUGAACUUAUAUCCAUGAGGAUUUGCCUCCUAGAAUCAGCAGGUGAAGGGCCCUGGGAACAGCUUGGAAGGAGAGGAUAUCACAGAGUCCACAGACACAGAGCUAAAGGGUAGAACCUCAAACUUAGCUGCUAGCAGAGAGACUUUAUAGACUCAAGGGACACAGACUGAAUGGCUGGUCUAAUGCCAUCUGGGCCAAGAUAGUGGGAGAGUAGGAGUGAGGAAGGAGAAUACACUGGAUUUUAGGGUAGAUAAUUAACACCUUUCACUAAGAGGAAUGGGCAGAGGAGGGGAGAACUUCAUGGAGAAGAGCUCUGAAAGAAUAUAUGGCAUGUGAGGAAACUAAGAAAGAACCUGAGUGAAUAUCUUAGUGUGACACAACUAGUAAGUAUCUGAGACCAGAGGUGAACUCAGUUCAUCCUUACUCAAAAUCCAGUGCUGCAUUCAUUGGGACAUCUAAUUGCAGAGCCUAUUGCUGGUUAAAUUAUUUACCCCCCUCAGUCUGAGUUUCCACAUUUAUAAAAUGGAGAUUAAUCAUGGUAUCUAGUAUAGAACUGAAAAGAGAAACAAAAGUGAUAGUAUCUAAAGUGAUCUGGAACUCUGAAAAGGUACAUAAAUGUUAUUCUUUCUAAAAAAACCACUUUGCUGAGCAUAAAGAUAUGAAAGUCAAGGGUACCAUCAACUUAUUUAUUUACCUUUCUUUUCUGAGAUAGUAUUUUAUUUCCCCCCUAUUACACUGUAAAACGUUUCCAGCAUUUUAAAAAAGAAUUUUGUCUUGAAUUCUCUCCCUCUCUCCUUCCCUCCCACCCCUGUGGAGAUGCUAAGCAAUUUGACAGAGAUUGUACUUGUGCAAUCAUGUAAAAUAUUUUCCCAUGUUAAUUCUUUUGUGGAAUG